UUUCUUCCGUUGCUUUUUCCUUUCGCCUGCUCUCUGUUUUUCUGCUUUUCUCCCUGUUCGAUCUUCGUGUUUCCUUGCUUCUCUGUUUGUGUUCAUCGUCUGCCGUCUGAAAAGGUGGUUUUUCUGGCUGAUUGCGGUGUUUCAGGCUAUGUUGGAGCAAAAACUGUGCAGGCAAAGACAUAAGAGUGAUGGAUUUUGGAAUGAAAUGCAGAGGAUAUCCUUUUGCGCUGCUUAAAGAAGAGCUCAACAUGAGGGUGCAAGAGAGCUAUUGGUACAAUAAAGAAAGGAAAAGUUGUACGCCACUACAGCACUACGCUGGGUGCUAGCCAACAUGAUAACAGUACUUACAAGAUAACAAUAACAAUAUAAAAAUGAUUAAGUGAAGGAAUGGUGAGGAUUGGAAGGCAGAUGAGUGUACAAGUGAGAGGAAGAUUGAAGAAGAAAGCAGUAAAAUGCAGUUGGGUCCUUAAUGCACUCCUAAAGAAUAGAUUGAGAAGUUUAAGGAUGUUGAGAGUUUGAGAAAUGCUGGAGAUUAAUUUCAAUUUGAAAAAAUCUCUGCUGCAUCUCGGUUCCUACAGUAAUUUUAGCUGCUGAAGUAGCUUUCAGCUGUCAAGGUUACUAGCAAUUGAGUGUGUUUUUUCCACUCAGCGUGCAUAAGACAAGUCAAAAGUGAUACUUCUGCUGAAAACUUAUCUGCAAAGUAAAUUUUGCUUCCGUGGUUGCAUGGUGCAUUGAUGCAUAAUUGUGCAACUCUAUUAUAAAAGAAAAAAUUGAUAUGGUGCUAAACUAUCAUACAACAUCCUAACCGUACAGGAAACGAAAAAAAUAGCUAAUUCAGCAAGGAGCUUACAGCGUUGACAAAUACGUUUUCAAGCAAUGAAGACAUGAACAUUCAAAGCUAUGUAAAAUUAAUUAAUACUUUAUUAAUUUUUUUUAUUGACGUUUUACAUUUAAUUACAAUUUUUGUCAAGCUUUCUCUUUAGGGGAUUUAGCUAUUACUAAUAUAUAUACAAAUUAUCUUUUCACAUGAUCUAAAUACAUGGCAAAUUACCUGCUUGCAUAUUGAAGGGUUAAAUUGGAUAUCCAAAAGUAUAAAAGUAGACAUUUGUACUAGAGAUAUACCCUCUCCUCAUAUUUUAAUCUAAUAUGUUCUUUCACAAAUUUAGAAAAUAUGGACGAGGUUUAUCUUUAGUGGUACGAUGUCUAUAUAAAUUGGUAAUAGUUAAUUCCUCUGAAGAGAAGACGGAAAUGAUGAUUUUUACUCCAGAUAAUCAAAACUGAGUUUACCAAUUUACAUAAAUCUGAUCCAUCUUUGUUGUACUAAAUUGCAACAAACUUAUCUUUUCUAAGACGUUAUCCAAAUUCUCAACCCAGGUAUGUAUCCAAUUUCACUUACUCUUUAUAUCUCAAUGCAUUUGUUUGUAUAAAUUAAUAUAACGUUAGUCAAAACUGAACAAUUUACAAAUUAUGCUCAAUCUAUUUUUAAUAAUUUUUUAGUUGUUAUUACCUACAAACUUUCUUAUUCCGCAGCAACGCGCGGGCACCACUUCUUAGUUUUAUAUAUACUAAAACUCAGUUGAGUUUUAGCACUGUUCAGAAAUAGUAAAAGGGCGGAAAUGCCCUUGAUUUGUUUGGGGUUUAGGUGCUGCUGAAUUGCUUUGUACAGUUAAAUGUCAUUUUUGCCCCCACUAGGUGGGCUGUCUUCAGCUGCCUGAAAAGUCCUACGCCUUUUUUAUCUCGCCUGUUGAGGGAUUUGGUUUAUUUUCUCGCCGUUCUCAUCAAUUUUCUACCUAACUCAAACUGCUCUCUCAUCUUUUCAUCUCUCCCAAAUUAUCUGUGCGAAAUCAGUGAGCCUGUUUUUGGUUGCUGGAAAAAAGUUUGGUUGCUACAAAUUUCUUGCGUUCGAAAUCCCUCAAUCGCUACGAAUUUUGUUCCUUUUUUGGAUUUAUCAGAAUCAAUUUUUUGGGUCAGAGGUCUACAGUUCCUGGUAUUUUGAUUUUGGGGUCUUUAACUAAUACACAAUUUGCUCUGAGGUAGAAGGAAAAGAAAGUCAAGUAUACGAAUGAGUUAGAAAGUUAGGUGUGACUAUUUUGAAGCACCUGUGAUGCUGCUGUUAUAUUUUGGGCUGAUGCUUGGGUUAUUAAGAAUUUUGCCUCGGUAGCAAAAUAUCUAUCUGCCCAAAUUAUGGGACACGGGAUAUAUUUUCUUCUGCAGCCAUAAAAUCUGUAAACAGAUUUUCAAGUUUACAAGGAGGUUGCAGUGUUGAGUUUGGUUACACAGAUAACGCUGCAGUAUACCAUACAAAGGUUUUUUUUCUUUCCUUUUGCCCCAUUUUUGGGAUAUUGGUUACAAAAUCCAUUUUUAGCAUAGGUGUGAAAUUUACAGUAGGGGUUAGUAAGUUAAUUAGUUAAUUUCAUUCUCAAUGUGCACAAAUGUUGUUCUUGCAUUAAUUCAUUUUCUUUGUAUCAAAAUUGAAUAAAUCUAAUUCUCCUUGAUAUCCGCUCAUUCUGCUAAGAUAUUUAUGUUGUUUCUCUCAUGCUCUAUCACAAUAUAUCAGUUACUUUAAUAAAUUUAGUUCUAAACGUUUUCUUAACAUAGAUGAUCUUACAAAAAUCAGUGAUGUACUCAUCUAAUUUUUAAUUUUUAAGUCUUUUUAAUGACUAGUUUGGUAUUUAGGCAGCUUUGAUCUUUGAUUUUAAAUAUGAGAUUUUGUCUAAUUCUUUCUGAUCCUCAGUUUCUAUUGUCAUUUACGGUUUAAUGGACAUUCUUGAAUCACAUUGGUUAACACCAAACAAAUGGUAUGUGUCAUAUUUCUCUUUUUCUAUUCCUUUACUUUCAUACAGAGUUUUGUUUGAAUGCCAUCAUUUUCACAGCCUCUUAUACACAUUUGAUUCAAACUUCAUCGUUCUUUAAAUAUCUGUAUAUAUUAUGCUCACACGUUUUGUAAUCCCGCAGUAACGCGCGGGCACUAUUUCUAGUUAUAUGCUAAAACUGGGUUGGGAACGGCACUGUUCAUUAAUAGUGCCGGGACGGAAAUGCCCUCGCUUCUCUGCUUUGUUUCCGUUUGUCUCGCUUGCUUGGUGCGCCGAAGAGACCUUUUUGCCCCUGUUUUCCACGCGUCGGCCAUCCUUAUUCCCUCGACUUCGAGAGUCUUCCUAGCCGCUUAGGUUGUUGUUCCUUCCGUGCCUUUCCUAAUUUGCGGUCUUCCCUUUUCGUUUUGCUGUUGUUUUUUCGAAUCCUCUGAUUUUCUCUGGUGUUCUGUUCUCUGUUUCGUGGAAAGAGUUCUUGAUUUUCGUUUUUUAAGGGAUUUUCUUUGUGGUUUGUGCUUGCGGGGCUUUUUUGUGGAAACUAAUGAUUGUCUUUCAGUUUUUAUUUUGGAUUUUUUGUUCGUUUCGAUGAAACCCUAAUGAUUUCGUUUUGUUAACAGUUGUGGUGCUCUCUUGGGGUUUCUAUACGCGUUGGUCAUCUGGAAGGGAAAGAAGCUGGAAAAUCUAGGCAACUGAGGAGUCUCUCUCAUUCCACUCUAUCUAAUUCCACUUUCUUUAAAAUCCCAAAAAUGGCUCUCCAAGACUGGAACUGGAAGUAUGAGGGUGAUCUAAUUUUUUUGGCUGUUCAUCAAGAGCAGCGGCAUGAGUCAUAUCCUCAUAUAAACAACAAGUGGAAGGUUUACAGGACAUUAACCAAUUAGUUGAGCUAUUAGUUCCUUUACUUUGUGAUGUCCCUGGUGUGAGUGAAAAAAAAUUGUUCAGAUUUUGUCUCUGUAAUCGCACUGUCUGAUAUCGUUCUUCUUCACUUUCAAGCAGCACCGGUGUUUAUUGAAGUUUUCUACAGCCAAAUUAGAAUCAAUCUAAAAGAACUGCAUCUAUUCGCCGUCUUCAAGUUUGACCCGAGUACCUCCAGAAAAUAUCUAUGCAUGGACCACUAUUAUAACCCAUUCUCAACUGAUGAACUUCAAACUAUGAAGAUUUUUCAUUAUAUGAAGAAAAUAGAUAGAUGCUCCGCCCAUUUUGCGGAAAAAAGGUAUACAACAGUGCAGCACCGCAGCAACGCGCGGGCAGCCUAGCUAGUAGAUUAUUAAAACGGAAUUGGAUCCACUCCGGACCCGCCUCACACAAAUCGACGACUCCGAUUUCAUUUCUACACAAAUGUGUGCUUAUACGGUUUAUUACCCGUUGUCAUUUUUUCAAAUCCGUAUAAUCUAGACUAUCGACCCUCGGUACACGCACGCAUUGGUGACCAAAACUUCUUGUUGGCUUUGGCUUUUCUUGCCAACGUUCUUCUUUCCUUUUUUCUUGCUCUGGCUUUUGCUUUCUUGACUGUUAUGCCCUAAUUGGGUGCUAGGGUUGUUUCCCUGGCUUAUCUUUCCCCUCCUGUGUACUAUGUGGCCUUUCUUGCAUACUUCGUUCAUGAUUACACUUUGUUGAACUUUAGUUGUCUAGUCACCAUAUAAUUGAUCCAGUGCACUCGUGAACACAACAGGGAGAUAGCUUUUCCUACGUAGGGAUAGCAAACCAUUGGUUUGGUCCUUACACAAUUUGAACAUGUUAACAUAAAACUUCAACCCCAUCUCGGAAUCCCAAAAAGGAUGUCUAAAAAGGAUGUCUGAUCAUGAAUAAAGAGUGGUCCUCUUCUAACAUUAAACCCCUCCCAAGUUUAGUUAUGGAAAUAAACGCAUGAUAUCUUUUGAGGCAUGUCAAGAGAGAAGGAUCUUUGACCCUCCUAAUUAAUUGGAGGACAAGAACUUCAAUGUAGCUAAAGUUGAUUAAUCUGUUUGCAGAUGCAAUUUUAAAGAGAUAAACUUGGAGGUGAGUAGAUACGCAUAUGCCAUCCCUUAAAUUUCCAUGCCAAAUUUUUUGACUUUGCAUGUACUGCAACAAUAGUCCCAAACUCCUGAAGGAUUUGUUAUAAAUAGUUAAAUAAAAUGAUGAUAGAUGCAUUUCACUAGAUAAUCUCUAUGUAGCAUACCUUAAAUUUUAUUGGAAAGCUUUCCAAUUACUUGCAUAUAGAAAUGUGUUUGGAGUUGGACAUGUCAUAUGCUACACAGAGAUUUUCUAGUGAAAUGCAUCUAUCAUCAUUUUACUAAACUAUUUAUAACAAAUCCUUUAGGAGCUUGGGACUAUUGUAAUAGUCAAAAAAUUUAAUUUGGCAUGGAAAUUUAAGGGAUGAUAUCUGCAUAUCUACUCACCUCCAAGUUUAUCUCUUUAAAAUUGCAUAUGCAAACAGAUUAAGUGACUUUAGCUACAUUGAAGCUCUUGUCCUCCAAUUAAUUGGGAGGGUCAAAGAUCCUUCUCUCUUGACACGCCUCAAAAGAGAUCAUGCGUUUAUUUCCAUAAAUAAACUGGGAGGGGUUUAAUGUCAGUAGAUGACCACUCUCUUUUCAUGAUCAUGCAUCCUUUUUGGGAUUCUGAGAUCGGGUUGAAGUUUUAUGCUAACGUGUUCAGAUUGUGUAAGGACCAAACUAAUAGGUUGCUCUCCCUACAUAGGAAAAGUUAUCUCCCUUUUGUGUUUAUGAGUGCACUGGAUAACUAUACGGCGACUGGACAACUAAAGUUCAAGAAGGUGUAAUCAUUAACGAAGUAUGCAAGAAGGGCCACAUGUUACAUAGGAGGGGAAAGAAAAGCCAGGGAAACAACCUAGCACCCAAUUAGGGCAUAACAGUCAGGGAAGUAAAAGCCAGAGCAAGAAAAAAGGAAAUAAGAACAUUGGCAAGAAAAGCCAAAGCCAACAAGAAGUUAUGGGCAACCAAAGCGUGCGUGUACCGGAGAUCGGUAGUCUAGAUUAUACAUCCCGCUCUUUGCCCACAAUCUGCACAAGGGAAAGAGUGGAAGAAUUGAAUAUGACAAUAGCAAAAGCUAAGUUUGAAGAAGAGAAGAUACCGAAGGAGGUUCAUCAAGUGUUUCUACGAGUUUUUGAAGGGGCAGAUGACGAUGUAUAUGAGGCACUUUACAAAGCCUACCGAUCCGGUUAUAGGCAUCCUCAACACACAUUGAGCAAAAUACUAGAAGAAUAGGAUGUUAGUUGUGGAGAGAUAAAAGUGUAUUCAGCAAUAGACUAAAACUUAGCAAAAUAGAGAAAACUAGAAAACACACAAGACUUAUACUGGCUUGUCAAAACUUUUGCCCAAGUCCAAUUGUGAUUUUCCUAGGUAGAGAAAUCUCGACUUCUUCAAUUAAUAAUAGAGUAUAUAGUACUUAUCUCUCUCUUC